GAUGAACGCUGGCGGCGUGCUUAACACAUGCAAGUCGAACGGAAAGGCCCAAGCUUGCUUGGGUACUCGAGUGGCGAACGGGUGAGUAACACGUGGGUGAUCUGCCCUGCACUUCGGGAUAAGCCUGGGAAACUGGGUCUAAUACCGGAUAGGACCACUUCUUGGAUGUUGUGGUGGAAAGUUUUUUCGGUGUGGGAUGAGCUCGCGGCCUAUCAGCUUGUUGGUGGGGUAAUGGCCUACCAAGGCGUCGACGGGUAGCCGGCCUGAGAGGGCGUACGGCCACAUUGGGACUGAGAUACGGCCCAGACGCCUACGGGAGGCAGCAGUGGGGAAUAUUGCACAAUGGGCGCAAGCCUGAUGCAGCGACGCCGCGUGGGGGAUGACGGCCUUCGGGUUGUAAACGCCUUUCGCUAGGGACGAAGCGUUUUGUGACGGUACCUGGAGAAGAAGCACCGGCUAACUACGUG
rnacentral:rRNA from 1 species